AGCAGCCGCGGUAAUUCCAGCUCCAAUAGCGUAUAUUAAAGUUGUUGCAGUUAAAAAGCUCGUAGUUGAAUUUCGGGAUCAGUUGAUCGGUCGUGCCUCGGUACGUACUGGUCAAAUUGAUUCCUACCUUCUGACGAACCACGAUGUCAUUAAUUUGGUGUCGUGGGAAAUCAGGACUGUUACUUUGAAAAAAUUAGAGUGUUUAAAGCAGGCUCGCGCUUGAAUACAUUAGCAUGGAAUAAUGAAAUAGGACGUUUGAUUCUAUUUUGUUGGUUUCUAGGAUCCACGUAAUGAUUAAUAGGGAUAGUUGGGGGCAUUAGUAUUCAAUUGUCAGAGGUGAAAUUCUUGGAUUUAUUGAAGACUAACUACUGCGAAAGCAUUUGCCAAGGAUGUUUUCAUUAAUCAAGAACGAAAGUUAGGGGAUCGAAGACGAUCAGAUACCGUCGUAGUCUUAACCAUAAACUAUGCCGACUAGGGAUCGGAUGAUGUUUAAUUUU
rnacentral:rRNA from 1 species